CCCGCGUCUCAAGAAUUGGGGAUUUGAACGGCCAUGGUGUGGUUCCACAGGGCAGUGGUGACUUGGGACCCUGUGGUCCCCUGUGGGUUUUCGGCACCACCCACACGUGCAUUUGCCUCCUGGGACGUCGCUUAGGGUUUUCUCAGGGCAAGUUUCAGAGGAGCCCCACCCCUCCCUCCGUGAGCUUUAAAACUUCUUGGACUCCUUGCUCCUCACAUCAGGACGGAUGGCUAGGAUGGCUCUGGCCUCUGGUGAGGCUUCAUCAGGGCUCAGCGCUCUGGCCAGCACUCCCCUUCCCAUCCCCACUUCUCCGUGUUGGAAUCCUUCUAGGCAGCCCCGCGCACGCGCUCCCCAGUGGCUACAGUGGCUCUUGGGGCCGCACCUGCCCCGUCUCAGGUGGGUAAGAAGGACGCUAAACCAAUGCUUCCAGAGAAGUCUCUGCCUUCCCCUGGUCUUCAGGCAGCAUGCGGAUGGGGCCUGUGUUUGGCCACACUGGUCCUGGUGGGGCCCUGGAGCCAGGUGUGACUUGGACGCCCUCCGGUAGCGCGGCUGGGAGUAGAGUCAAGCUUGGGGAAGCCUCGAAUCCACCCUGCUGUUCUCCCCACUCUGCAGCUGUCCGGGGCAACACCACCGGUCCCCGAGGAGGUCUGAGCUGGUGCGCAGGUGGAAGCCAGAACUUCCCAGAACCAGCAUCCCCUAAUGCUCCCCUUCCCCCACUAUGCCCCCCUCUCCGGAUGGCUCCUCCUCCGGUCACGCAGUCCACCCUGCCCUCCUCAGCUGAGGCCCUGGGUGAAGACGAUCAGGGGACCAGGGUCAGACCCGGGCCAUCCCCAUCCAGACAGCCCCCCUACACAGCCGGAUGCUGCUGAAGGACGGCCACCCCCAGACCGCGGGGCUCCCUUCUCCCCGUCGCUUCUCUUCACAAGCAGCACUCAUUUCAGGCCUGGACGCGGGUUCCAGCCUCUUUGGACCCUGACAGACAAGACAGGUCAGCCGUUCAUGCUGCCCAAACUCUUCCCGCUGUUAGAGGAAAAGCCUCUGUUUCUGGACUUUCGCUUUUGGCCCUCGGACCCUGCCCAGGAGGACUCCCUCAUGGUCCCUCCCCCUCUGGUCCCUGGGGCCAUUUCCCAGUUCAUAAUCCCUCCGUUGCUGCCUCCAUCGCGCUCCUGCCUUCUUCCCUCCUCAUCUGAUUUAGAGCCCUGCUCUACCCCAGGGUGCUGGCUGUUUGGGGGUGAGAGUUUCUGCAGGUCGGAAGUCCACAUAUGGCUUAGCUGGGUCCUCUGCACAGGGUCCCACCAGGCUGCAGUCAUGGUGUCAGCUGGACUGUGUUCUCAUCAGAGGCUUGACUGAGGAGGGAUCAGUGCCUACUUUUCUUUAGGGUGGUUGGCAGAACUCAUUUCCUGGAAAUUACAGAGCUCAUGGAGACUUUGUUCAUCAUGGCCAUCAAGAAAGAACCUGCCACUUGGAACCUCUGACUUCAGGGAGGGCUCCUGCCCCUUUUUUUAAAGGGCACCCUGAUUGGGCUAGGCCCACCCAGGAUAAUAUCCCUUUUAAUGAUCUCAAAGCUCAGUGAUUAAGGAUCUUACUUACGUCUGAAAAGUCCCUUCACAUUUGCCACAUUCUAUCCAUUAGAAGCAGGCCACAAGUCUCACCCACAUUUAAAGGGAGGGGACCACACGGGCAAGGGUAUUGAGGAACAUGAUCACACACUCCAGGGUGUGUUCAGCAUAAUUCCAAUACCCCCCACAACCCAAUGAGCCAGACGCUGUUACUGUCCUCAGUUCACCAGUGAGGAAAGCAAGAUUUGCAAAGAUAAAGUGGCUUGCUUGAAGUCACCAAACUAGAUAUUGGUUGAGCUGGGAUUCAAACACAGAAUGUUUGAUUCCAGAGCCCUGCAUGGUAAUAUCCUGUGUUUCCCUGGUUAGAGAAUAAUGAGGCAGAAAAGCCCCAUGAGAAAGGUUGUAAGGACUCUGUCAUGUGUAAUGGGUAUUGUAAAAAUAAUAGGGUGAAUUUGCUCAUUGACAUAAGCAAGUACUGAAUAAACGUUAACUACCAGGUUAUUCUCAUGUUUUAUUUUUUUAACUACAGAAGUAAAGUUUAACAGAAUUUCUUUGUCUGGUAGAAAUACACAGUAGCUGGAGUGAGAAAGCAUACAGGAGUCAAGGUUAUCAAAAGCUUACAUAAAGGACAACUCAAACUGUAUUUCACUGUUGAUCUUGAGAGAAUCAGGAUGACAUAUUCACUGAGCAGCCCUAGAUUUUUCCCACACAUUAUCUCAGAUUGUCUUCCAAGCAUUCCUCUGAGCAUUACCAUCAUUUCCACAGUAAUGAUGGAGAAGCAGAGUCAUUGGGGGAUUGCAUGACUUGUGCCAGGUCACACAGCUGGUAAGUGCAGAGGUAAGGUUUGAACCUGUCCAGAUGUAGCACACGGUUCAGUUUUGGUGCAUGGCAGUCAUGAUGAGCUGUAUUCUGUAGCACUGCUGUGACUUGUGUUUGCUCAUAUACAGCCUGGGCUUCUUGAGGCCUGGACCCAUCCUUGUGCCCUGUGCCCUGCAGGAUCUGGUGCAGCUAGCUGACCCAUUCACUGAAAUCUGAGUUCCCAACUUGUCACGAAUGUACUGUUGAGUAGGAAUGGGGACCUAAGAGUCAAUUAGAAACCAGCAUGUUGCGUACACAGCUCCAUGUCCAUCCCUACCCUGGGCCCAAGGAUUCUGCUGCCCCAAGCUGGGCAAUGGUGGAGAAAUGUUAUCUCAAACAGGUGCUGAAAAAUGGCUGUGCACACUGACGCCAGGUCACCAGUCAGCUCAUGUUUACUUCCUGGGUUUGUGUUGGGAGCUUGGGUUGGGAGUGGGCAUGCAGGUGGGCACAGGGAUUGGGGGUGGCUUUCUCCUUGACCUUAGCUAUCUCUUUGGAGUUUGGGUUUCUUUCCCUUGCUUCUGGGCAGGUGGGUUGUAGAGUCAGGCUGUGAGUCCUGGUUUCAACUCACCUUUUGGUGUGGAUCAGGACACCUUUCUACCCCUUAAGCCUCAUAGUUGUGUCAUAGACCUGCCUUUGUCUAUCUGUACUCUCCUCUAUGCUUUCUGGACCACAGCAGUGGAAGCUGAGAUGGGUUUCAGGCCCAGGAGAUCACAGCCCCAUCAUCCCUGGCUUCUAAACCUCUCUCCCAGGCAAGGACCUAACUUUUUCUUUCCUUUCACCUGCAAGAAAUUAGGGCCAUCCACAACUUACCAAAUCAGGCUGUUAUCACUUUACACCCAGAUCCCUUUCUGAGUCCUGGGAAGGACAGUGAGGGCUUUGGAAGGUAGGGUGUGAGAAGAGAAGCAAAUCAACUGCAGAAGAAAAGCAGGGAGUUCAUUGGAGAUGCAUUUUCCGUGUGAAGGGAUGUUCAGGAAAGGUCACUUUUAGAAUCUACCGAAACAUGCCUGAGGUCUACCAGAAAGCUCUGUGAAUCACAAACCCAGGAAAUAGCUUAUGAUCGAUCUGGUUUAAAUGCAUCUCUCCACAGAGCUGCCAGACACAUGAGCUAUUGGUAAUUAUACUUUCAGGAGCAAAAUCCCCCAGUUUCACAUAUUUUAUAGGGAGCACAGUUUCUUCUGUCUUUCUUGCUUUCGUUCUUUGUCUCCCUCUCCUCCUGGGUCUAAAUUUUGUGUGCCUGAGAGAGAUGUAGACAUAACAGAGAAUUAACUGCAUUUGGGGAAGUGACUUGUGUAUCCAGCCUUACAAAUCGCCCAAAGCAAUCCUGCUUUCUUGAUUCUUGCGUGUAGAUGCGUCUCUAAUGCUGGCUCUGCGCAUGGAUUCUAUUAACCUCAAUCAGCAGCUUCCCAAGUAGACGGCAGAUCCUUUAGUACCAGAGCUUUCUGUCUUAUACUCCUUAGGAGCUGCUACAGCUCCAGGUAUAAUAUCUGAUCACAAAGGGAUGCAUAAAUAUUUGUUGGUUGAUUUAAAAUGAACUCAGAUGAAAUAGGAUUUCAGAAAUAGGAGCAAUUGAUGUUGGUUAAAAUAGUUUAAUAUCUCAACUCCUUAACAUGGUCCAGCAGUCUACACGAUUCCCAAGCAUCCUGUAAGGGAAUUUCUAUUACUCUAAUCUGACAUAUGCACGCACUGUGCACAGGGCAGUGCUGGGGGAUAUGAUGGUUACUAGCAGUAGGUUAACAUUUACUUCCUCCCGUGUACUAUGAAGGGACCUGUGCUGCUUCUUGGCCCACUCCUUCCACUUUUUAAAUCACAGAAUCUUGGUUUGUUCAGUGUGUAUGUGCCCAGUUGGAACUGAAGCCACAUGACCUAGUUUCAGCCAAUAAGACCCAAACGAAAGUUACUGGGAAGAGUCACUGGAGAGGGCCCUUCCCAAAUAAAAAAUGCAAGGACUUGCUAGAGGGAGCUCUUUGCCCUUCACCCCUUUAACCUUCUCUUACUUCCUGACUGGAAACUGGAAGUAAUGCUUGGAGGCACAGCAGCCAGCUCAGGGCAAUGAGCAUAAAAGCCAUAGUAAAGAUGGUGGAGCAGAAGAGAAAAGAACCAGGGUCUCGGAUGUCACCGCUGAUCAUCUCCCCAGCGCAGGACUGCCCACCCCUGUUGCGUGAGUUAUGUUAAAGCCCUUCACAGUUUCAGCCACUGUUGGAAGAUUUCCUGUUAUCUGAAGCUCACUGUGUCCUCACGUGCUGUCACAACUCUUCCUGUUAACCCCAUUGGUUGGGUAUUACUAAUUAUGUUCUGCAAACAAGAAAGUCACAGCUCAGUGAGGUUUAUCACAUGCCUAAGAUCACAGAGCCAGAGAGAAGUGAGCCUGGACAUGAAUCUCUUAUUCCAAAGCCCCUAUCCCAUAUUUUCUCUCCAGGUAUGAAGAAGGGAAAAGGGCUGAUCUGUAUAAGAGAAUUACAUUUAUUCAUUGGAUUAUUCAUUCAACAAAUAUUAAUUGAGAUCUGUCCCUGGUGACAUUCUCAUGAGUAAGGCCUCCUGCUCCUGAGCUCUUCUCUCCUGAAGGAAUUUUGUGCCUUGAUUUUUUACUAAGGGGGAAGGCUAUCUCACACCAGCCUCUUCACCCUUGUGCCCAGGCUUUCAGUGUUUCUGUUGGACCAGUAGCAUCCUAGGGAAAUGAACUGUGGCAGAAAUAGGGACCAGGGAAAGUUUUAUCCAUUUGCUACUUACUGAAUCAUGGACACCAACUGUCUAUGAGACAAAGUUAACUUGGGUUUUCAAUUAGAAAGAACAUUUGGGACCAGCAUCUCAUCGCUGACGUAGCUGCCAGGAUGAAAGCAAUAUAAAUCCAGCGGGUUGGGUGUGAUUGCUGCUUUCAUGUCUGGCUUGGAAAGGCAAAGGUGGGUGCACCUGUGAAGAGGUCCCCACCUCCAUUUGCAUAUUUCCUAGUUGGUUUUGAAAGGAGUCUGCAGGUUGGAGACGGGAACUGCAUAGUCAAAUUUGGCUGCUGCCAAAUUAAAGGACUUAAAUAAAAACUAACAAGAGCAAGUGUUCAGUAGGUGCACACCUGUUCUUGGCUCUGUGCGAAGCAUUUCAGCUACACUGCCUCAUCUUACCCCAAGACAACCACAUGGGUUGUUAUUACUGCAAUUGCCAUUGUAGAGGUGAGGAAUCAUGGGAUGGCCAGAGAGAUCAAAUGGGAGACUCAAGAGCCCACAGUAACAUAGGUUACAGAUAUCUGGCCUGGGCUCUCUUCCUUUGUCACUGGGCUGUGAGAAGAGAAGUCUGAAGCUGCUGCAUAAAGUCGGAUGUGUCUACUUAUCACUUAAUGAGCAUCCCUGUUAAGUGCUUGGUUACAAAAUCAGUAAGACUAGAUGCUUCUUUCUGGGGGAGCCUAGGCUGGGGUGAGGAAGUGAUGAAUUCACUGAGAAAACAGAUCAGAUAUUAUUUAAGACAAUAUUUUCAAACCCUCUGCUUACAGCCCUAUCAAUUCCAGCUGUGCUUGCCGUAACUUGUGUCCCUCAAGUCAAGAACUCAGCCACUUCUUUAGGCCAAUGGCCCUUAAGAUUUACUGGCUGUCUCCUAUAUGUCAGACUUUAUUCAGUUUGCCUCAUUUAAACCUCACAAUGUCCCUAGGAGGACUUUCUUUGUUCAGGCUCUUCCCAGAAGCAGAUCCAGACGCAACAAGUCAGGUGCAAGUUGUUUACUGGGGAGGAGUACGGGAAAUGGAUACAGGAAAAAGAAGGCAUUACCAAAGGUCUGUUAUCAGUGGGUGUCUGGAGCUUAAUCCCACAGAGAACCUCUGGAAAAUGGUGUACAAUAUAUCUCUAAUUUACUAUGAUGGUGAUGAUGGUGGUGGUGAUGAUGAUGUAAUGAUGAUGGUGGUGAUGACAAUAAUAAUAGUGGUGAUGAUGCUGGUGGUGGUGAGGAUGAUGAUGGAGGUAAUGGUGAUGACGGUGAUGGUGAUGGUGAUGGUGAUGAUGAUGAUGGUGAUGAUUCCUUUCUUGUGUUGAAGUAUAUUUUGUAUUUUGAUGGAGCUUCUGUCUUUAUAGAAUAAAUUCUUGGGUAUUGAAAGCCCCAAAGUAGGAAAUUCAAGUUUAAAAGACACAUGCUAUAUAAAUGAUAAAUAGAUAAAUUCAUACUGAGUAUGUUCUGGAAUCAAGAGAAAUUCAGUCCAAUUUUUUAUGCCUUCCACAGCAUGUCUUGUAGAAUAUUAAUCCCAACGACAGUAGAAGUCAAUACUGGAUCAAAGCACCUACUAUGGGGCUGACACAUCGUGGCCUCCGACAAAUCUUUGCUGAGUGAAGGAUGUGUGUAGACAGUGUGUUCAGUGAUGACCCAGUGGAAACCCAGCGGGCCUUUUGUAUUAGGAGGUGUUAAAUUUCAGUAUAGUUUUUUUGGCAUUUUUUUUGGUUUGCAAAUGUUUGUCUUAGAGUGUAACUACAUAGAGUGAAUCGUAUACAUCUUAAAUGUACAUCUUGUUCAGGCUUUACAAAGUGAACACACCCAUAGAACUUCCACCAAAACCAAGGUGUGGGGCAUUACUUGCACCCCAGAAGUGUCCCUCAUGCCUAUUUCCUAUCAUUAUCCCUCAAAAUAACCCCUCUUGACUGCCACCACCAUAGGAUAGCUUUGCUUAUUUCUGAAUGUCAUUUAAAUGAAUCAUGCAGAAUUACUCUUUUGUCUUUUUUUUUUUUUGCUCAACAUAUGUACACAAGAUCUAUUCGUGUUUCUGCGUAUAGUAGUACCUCAUUUCUUUCCAUCGCUGUAAAGAAUUUCAUUGCAAGACUAUAGCAUAAUUUAUUUAUCUGUUCUGUUGUUGGACAUUUAACCCUUUUCCAGCUUUUUAUUAUCAUGAUAAGGGUGCUAUGAGCAUUCUGGUACAUUUCUUUUGUACUCAUUUUUUAAAGGUGUUUACCAAGAAAUGGAAUCGCGAAGUCCCGGGGUGAGAGUACGUUUAGUUGUAACGGGGUCUGAGAGACACUUUUCUGGGGUUCGUGGAGCUGUGCUCUCCACCAGCGAUGCGUGCCCUUCCUGGAUCUGCAGUCAGUCAGAUGCCAGCUCAAAUCUUGUUCUUGCCGCUUGUGGGCUGUGUGAUAGUGCAGCUCUGAGACUUUCAAUAACUUGACCUUCGAUAACUGUAAAAGGAAUUAUAACUUGUCUACUUUAUGCUUACAGAAUGCAUGUGUUUACAUACAGUCCUGGCUUCUAGUGUGUGUUCAAAACAUGAUAGCUGUGAUCAUUCUUACUAGUAUUUAUCUAGAAUAUUUAAUGCACCAUGCUACCCUCUCAAACUUCGUGUAGUUGGGUUAUUUAAUUUUGAUGUUUUACAAGCAUCAAGACGAAGGAUGUGACCUGCAGCUGGCGUCGGGGGUCUGUGGACCGUACACUGGAGAUAGCCUCUUAGGAACCGUGCAGAUUGCCUUACACUGUGUUGUUUUGCAGAACAUGGGUCUUCCACGAAAGCCUAUCAAGGGUAGAGUAAUUAUUGUCUGUGACAGGGAACAUCCGUCAGCUAAAAUUAUCAUUCUAGCCAAGCAUGUAACUAGGAUUAGCUAAAUAUGCAAUCAUGAAAAAUGCUUAUGAGGCUGAAGAUUUUUCUUCUCUUUCACGUCGUUAUUGGGGCCACGAAUAAACGAUUGUCUUGCCAGUUUCACUUCCUGUGAGUUUUCCCCCUUGCCCCAUUGCUGGAACAUGCCAACUCUUCCUGCAUCUCAGGGUCUCCUCCUGAAAUAUCUGUCUCCCUCUCCCUUGCCAGUGACUUUGUUUUCAGCCCAGCCAAGGGGUCAGCCCCUCAGUGAUACCCUCCCUCCUGCUGGUGCCUGAGCCACUGAAGAAAUCUGUCCCCCUCCCUCACGCAUGUGCUUCUGCUCUGUGGCCCGCUGCUUCCCUUGGUGUUCGAGGGGCUUCUCAAAGCCAGAGAUUUCUGAAGUUGACAUCUGUGACUCCUGUGGCCUACCCAAUAAAUGGUUGAUGAAUUAAUUAACUCACAGAACAUAAAACAGGACAUCCCUGACCCCAUCUAACUCCAAACGUCUCUCCUAUUCCAUUCUGUUGUAUUGAAUGCAGUCUUACUGGGUGCUGACUUGCUCCUGGUCUUUCAGAGAGGCAGGGUAGAGCCGUGGUCAAGUGCGUGGGCUCCAGGUUCAGGCAUCUUUGUUGGCUUUACAGCUUCUAGACUAUGUGGCCUUGGUCAGCCUGCUUGGCAUCUCUGGACCCCAGCUGCUCUUUUGCAAUCUAGGAUUGCCCUGGAAUUCAGGGGCCACCCGUGAUAGUGGGCACCUGGUUUCCAAAGACAGGGAGGCUGACAAUCUGCUCCAUGGUGCUGAUGACACAGGACCUUAGGAACCAGGUUCCAGAAGGAGAUGGUGCCUUAAGACAUUGCUGCCAGACCUGGAGAGUAUCUGGGUGAGGCAGUGUCUGGGAACCCAUGGGAGGCUAUGAUUGGGUCAAUGGCCAAGAUCUGUGUGGUCAAAGGAUGAAGACAUAGAAAGGAAUCAAGGGGAAAAGAGAAGCUUUAUUUUUUCGAGGACACCCAAACUCUCCCUUCUCUUCUGGCUCCAGCACCUGACACGCCUGGAAAUUUCUCAAAGGCCAGAAUCAGAGAGACUCAAUGGCAUCAUCUGGCUUCCCUCAGUGGAGUUCACCUCCAGCUUCUUACAGGGGCUCCGUGCAGGGCUGUGCGGAUGGAAUGUUUCAUUGACUUCCUUACGAGCUCAUCGUCCUGCCCAUUAUCUCAAAGUGCUAAUGGAAACAAUUCUCUAAAUCAGACGUUUUGCUCAUUCUUUUCCCACGUCUGGAUCAGUGAGAUAACAGGAAAAUUAGUGAAUAUUUCUCCACUGGUGGAAGCUGCAUAUUUGUAGACAGGAGGGAGCGC